rnacentral:rRNA from 1 species
UACAGAGGUGGCAAGCGUUGUUCGGAAUUACUGGGCGUAAAGGGCUCGUAGGCGGCAACUAAGUUGGAUGUGAAAUCCCCAGGCUUAACCUGGGAACUGCAUCCGAUACUGGAUGGCUUGAAUCCGGGAGAGGGAUGCAGAAUUCCAGGUGUAGCGGUGAAAUGCGUAGAUAUCUGGAGGAACACCGGUGGCGAAGGCGACAUCCUGGACCGGUAUUGACGCUGAGGCGCGAAAGCCAGGGGAGCAAACGGG